rnacentral:lncRNA from 1 species
CACAGAUAAACAUAUACCUAGUUCCUUCCUGAAAUACCAGAAAUUGCAAGCUUGUCAAAUUGUGAUUAAUGAGGAUUUACUGGAUAUCAACAUAUGAGUCUUCGAUAAGAUGACCAUCCCCUGUAAAUUGUGGCACGUGUUCUCCAUGGCUACAUAGAUAGAAAAAACAAGAUGCAAAUGGAGGGACAUUACCUGGCAGGCCAACAUCCGUUUUAGGACACCAAGGAUAUCGUCCUUCUGCCUGCUGAAAAUCAUGGAAUUAAAAAGAUAUAGAGUCCAUUCUGAGAAAUUCAAUUUCAUCAAAUGGAAAGUGAAAGCAUCUCCAAUUCUAUAUAUACACUGAAGCCUUCAUGCCCCAUUUACACUACUUGUAUCGAAUCCCGUAAUAGGUUUCUGCCUAUUGAGUCCAAAUAAAUGGUGGUUA